GCCGCCGGUGUUACGUCGGUCUGCGUUUCUCUUGCCCUUACGUCAGCGUAAUUUAUGUUGCCUAGCAACCGUGUUAGCGUGAAGCGCAGAGCUGUGAAAACGAAAAGGAGCCAGAAGAGCAGGAUGCAGUGGUCAGGAGAGAAGCGCUGAUAGAAGUCAGGACAGAAAUUUAAAGACACUGCCUUCAUCCAAACUUGGGCUUUCACCUGGAAAACAAGAACCAGUCCAGUUUCCAGCCACUUCCAGCUGCAGAGAGUCGGGGCUGCUCCCACCCCGCGCCACGGUGGGCAGCACAAACUCAACGUUGAUCUGAUCCAUGGAGGUGGAGCAGCAAGAGGUGAUAGCUUUCUUUCUCCUCCUCCUG